rnacentral:rRNA from 1 species
GUUAAGCGACUAAGCGUACACGGUGGAUGCCCUGGCAGUCAGAGGCGAUGAAGGACGUGCUAAUCUGCGAUAAGCGUCGGUAAGGUGAUAUGAACCGUUAUAACCGGCGAUUUCCGAAUGGGGAAACCCAGUGUGAUUCGUCACACUAUCAUUAACUGAAUCCAUAGGUUAAUGAGGCGAACCGGGGGAACUGAAACAUCUAAGUACCCCGAGGAAAAGAAAUCAACCGAGAUUCCCCCAGUAGCGGCGAGCGAACGGGGAGCAGCCCAGAGCCUGAAUCAGUGUGUGUGUUAGUGGAAGCGUCUGGAAAGGCGCGCGAUACAGGGUGACAGCCCCGUACACAAAAAUGCACAUGCUGUGAGCUCGAUGAGUAGGGCGGGACACGUGGUAUCCUGUCUGAAUAUGGGGGGACCAUCCUCCAAGGCUAAAUACUCCUGACUGACCGAUAGUGAACCAGUACCGUGAGGGAAAGGCGAAAAGAACCCCGGCGAGGGGAGUGAAAAAGAACCUGAAACCGUGUACGUACAAGCAGUGGGAGCACGCUUAGGCGUGUGACUGCGUACCUUUUGUAUAAUGGGUCAGCGACUUAUAUUCUGUAGCAAGGUUAACCGAAUAGGGGAGCCGAAGGGAAACCGAGUCUUAACUGGGCGUUAAGUUGCAGGGUAUAGACCCGAAACCCGGUGAUCUAGCCAUGGGCAGGUUGAAGGUUGGGUAACACUAACUGGAGGACCGAACCGACUAAUGUUGAAAAAUUAGCGGAUGACUUGUGGCUGGGGGUGAAAGGCCAAUCAAACCGGGAGAUAGCUGGUUCUCCCCGAAAGCUAUUUAGGUAGCGCCUCGUGAAUUCAUCUCCGGGGGUAGAGCACUGUUUCGGCAAGGGGGUCAUCCCGACUUACCAACCCGAUGCAAACUGCGAAUACCGGAGAAUGUUAUCACGGGAGACACACGGCGGGUGCUAACGUCCGUCGUGAAGAGGGAAACAACCCAGACCGCCAGCUAAGGUCCCAAAGUCAUGGUUAAGUGGGAAACGAUGUGGGAAGGCCCAGACAGCCAGGAUGUUGGCUUAGAAGCAGCCAUCAUUUAAAGAAAGCGUAAUAGCUCACUGGUCGAGUCGGCCUGCGCGGAAGAUGUAACGGGGCUAAACCAUGCACCGAAGCUGCGGCAGCGACGCUUAUGCGUUGUUGGGUAGGGGAGCGUUCUGUAAGCCUGCGAAGGUGUGCUGUGAGGCAUGCUGGAGGUAUCAGAAGUGCGAAUGCUGACAUAAGUAACGAUAAAGCGGGUGAAAAGCCCGCUCGCCGGAAGACCAAGGGUUCCUGUCCAACGUUAAUCGGGGCAGGGUGAGUCGACCCCUAAGGCGAGGCCGAAAGGCGUAGUCGAUGGGAAACAGGUUAAUAUUCCUGUACUUGGUGUUACUGCGAAGGGGGGACGGAGAAGGCUAUGUUGGCCGGGCGACGGUUGUCCCGGUUUAAGCGUGUAGGCUGGUUUUCCAGGCAAAUCCGGAAAAUCAAGGCUGAGGCGUGAUGACGAGGCACUACGGUGCUGAAGCAACAAAUGCCCUGCUUCCAGGAAAAGCCUCUAAGCAUCAGGUAACAUCAAAUCGUACCCCAAACCGACACAGGUGGUCAGGUAGAGAAUACCAAGGCGCUUGAGAGAACUCGGGUGAAGGAACUAGGCAAAAUGGUGCCGUAACUUCGGGAGAAGGCACGCUGAUAUGUAGGUGAAGUCCCUCGCGGAUGGAGCUGAAAUCAGUCGAAGAUACCAGCUGGCUGCAACUGUUUAUUAAAAACACAGCACUGUGCAAACACGAAAGUGGACGUAUACGGUGUGACGCCUGCCCGGUGCCGGAAGGUUAA